AGGAAGGCAACAAAGGAAAAACCUUGAACAAAAAAAGACAGUAGAAAAAAGUAAGGAAGAAAGGCCAGAAUAAGUAAAAAAAAACGACAAAACCUUCAAAAAAAGGUGACAAACUUCAAAAACAGCGUCAUUACUUAGAAAAAAAUAGAAAGUAGAAGUAACUACAGCCUUGCAUCUGAAAAACAUUUAGC